rnacentral:lncRNA from 1 species
UUUUUUAUAUAUAAUAUUAUUCUAUGUAUAUAGUUGUAGUCCUUUUAGAUAGAGUUUUGCAUCUUGCUUUUUAAAAUUAACACGUUCUGAGCUUUUUCGUGAUUAUUAAUUGGAAUAGAAGAUAUAUUUACUUGUUCUUGUCUACAUCCUCAUCGUUAAAUAGACUGUCUUCAGUUUUUCUGUUAAAAAUAUGGUUAUAAACACUUAUGCACAUAAAUCUUUUAGGCAUUUUGGAUUUUAAGGGUACAUUCCCCAAAGCAUACUAUUAGAUUAAAAGGUAUGACUAUUUUAAGAUUUAAAAAAUAUAUGACUGGCAGUAUAUAUAAUUUGCCUAAUGCAUGUAUUCCUGCCAGAUUGCUUUCUGGAAGUGUUGUGUUUUUGAGGGCCCAUCGGUGUUUUCACUGAAAAAGAAUCUUUGCUAUUUUGGGUGAAACAUCAUAUUUCACUUCUUUAUGAGAGUUUGAAUGUUUUCCCCUUUGUGUAUUGUUAAACCUGUUGUCCCCUGUGAUCAGAAGUUUGAGUGGAUUGGAGUGAUCCUGACAGCAAAUCUCUUCUGUUAAACUGAUGCGAGGAUGAAGCCUGAUUCUUUCCUGACAUUCCAUUAUUGUGACUCUGAUGGAAGUGUGAUAUCAUUCAAAGGAUUGAGCUUUCUGGUAGAUUAAAUGUGCUUCCAUUUUCACCAAUUCUGUUAAAGUUUCAGAUGUUGGUAGGUUUUUUUCCCCCUCCUUAAAAUUCUAGUUUAAUCUGGAAACCUAGUUUCUUGAAUUUCUUGAAUUUAACAACUCAAAUUUCUGACCGGUAAGUUACUAUGCAUAUUACAAAUGUUUGCCUUUAUUUUCUUUUGCAAGUUCCUCUUGAAUAUUCACUCCUCUCUAAGCGGUGAGGUCCAUGAUAACCUAAUUGCAAAAUUAGUCUGAAGUUGGUGUUAUUCAUCUCUUUUUAUGGCUGAACUAUAUACCAUGCAAAUCCGGGAAUUGUGUGUCUCUUCCACCCUGGGGACUGGUGAUCAGAGAAAACUGCAGAGUGAGAAAGAGAGGGUUGGGAGUGAAGACAGGCAUGGAAUAAAGGAAAAAUUAGGUUUUAGAAUAAUGUAAACCUACCUUUUAAUCAUGUAUCAUUUACUAAAAAAGUUUUUGUGCCUUUCUUGGGGAAAAAAGGAGAAGAUAAUUCCUGUCUUUUCAGGUCACAGCAGGAAUUAAAUUUUAAAGCAUGUUUAUAAAGCAUGUACAUACCUGUGCUGUGUCGUGUAGUAUUUGGUGUUCAGUAAUUGGCUGUUUUUUCCCUCGGGAAAUAGAGGGAGUGUCGCAGUGUCUGGGAAGACUGUAUUGUAUAAACACAGGUGUGAGUUGUACCAGCGUAUGUUACAACAUUGAGAUGCCCAACAUAUGUAGUAAGUUACAUUGGAGUUCCUGUCGUGGUGCAGAGGAAACGAAUCCACCUAGGAACCAUGAGGUUGUGGGUUCGACCCCUGGCCUUGCUCAGUGGGUUAAGGAUCUGGUGUUAACGUGAGCUGUGGUGUAGGUCGAAAACGUGGCUUGGAUCCCACAUUGCUGUGGCUGUGGUGUAGGCUGGUGGCUACAGCUCUGAUUAGACCUCUAGCCUGGGAACCUCUAUAUGCCUCGGGUGCAGCCCUAAAAAGAC